GUGCUUGCUUCAGCAGCACAUAAACUAAAUUGGAACCAUACAGAGACGAUUAGCAUGGCCCUUGCACAUGGAUGACAUGCAAAUUUGUGAAGCAUUCCAUAUUUUU
ensembl:snRNA U6 U6 spliceosomal RNA